AUUGAACGCUGGCGGCAGGCUUAACACAUGCAAGUCGAGCGGAGAUGAGGUGCUUGCACCUUAUCUUAGCGGCGGACGGGUGAGUAAUGCUUAGGAAUCUGCCUAUUAGUGGGGGACAACAUUCCGAAAGGAAUGCUAAUACCGCAUACGUCCUACGGGAGAAAGCAGGGGAUCUUCGGACCUUGCGCUAAUAGAUGAGCCUAAGUCGGAUUAGCUAGUUGGUGGGGUAAAGGCCUACCAAGGCGACGAUCUGUAGCGGGUCUGAGAGGAUGAGCCGCCACACUGGGAAUGAGACACGGCCCAGACUCCUACGGGAGGCAGCAGUGGGGAAUAUUGGACAAUGGGGGGAACCCUGAUCCAGCCAUGCCGCGUGUGUGAAGAAGGCCUUAUGGUUGUAAAGCACUUUAAGCGAGGAGGAGGCUACUGAGACUAAUACUCUUGGAUAGUGGACGUUACUCGCAGAAUAAGCACCGGCUAACUCUGUGCCAGCCGCCGCUGUAAGAC
rnacentral:rRNA from 1 species